UAUAGUGAUCACGUCUUUGGUGCCCGAGAGGGCUCAUCGAAGGGAAUGCGGUGCGACGACAUCUUGGCGUCAAACCCGCGGCUGCCCCCGCAACUGUAAGCGGAAAGUCUCUGCCCGAUAUGCCACUGGAGACAUCCGGGAAGGCGGGUCAGAGGCGUUCGAUCCGCGAGCCAGGAGACCUGCCGGAGACGAUAGGUACAG
rnacentral:ncRNA from 2 species